rnacentral:rRNA from 1 species
ACGAACGCUGGCGGCGUGCUUAACCCAUGCCAGUCGAACGGUGAAGCUCCAGCUUGCUGGAGUGGAUCAGUGGCGAACGGGUGAGUAACACGUGAGCAACCUGCCCCUGACUCUGGAAUAAGCGCUGGAAACGGCGUCUAAUACUGGAUACGAGAAGGGUCCGCAUGGGCACUUUCUGGAAAGUUUUUCGGUUGGGGAUGGGCUCGCGGCCUAUCAGCUUGUUGGUGAGGUAAUGGCUCACCAAGGCGACGACGGGUAGCCGGCCUGAGAGGGCGACCGGCCACACUGGGACUGAGACACGGCCCAGACUCCUACGGGAGGCAGCAGUGGGGAAUAUUGCACAAUGGGCGAAAGCCUGAUGCAGCGACGCCGCGUGAGGGAUGACGGCCUUCGGGUUGUAAACCUCUUUCAGCAGGGAAGAAGCGAAAGUGACGGUACCUGCAGAAGAAGCACCGGCUAACUACGUG